rnacentral:lncRNA from 1 species
GCACAUGUGAGAUUAAGAAAGAUUUUCAGAAUAAAAUCAGUUAUGAAUCAUUGUUAUAAAAACAAUUUUACAUCAAAAGUAUAAAAGAUAUAUAUAAAAAAAAACAUAAACAAUGAAUACAAGUCGUUCGACCAUUUGUAUUUUAUCUCGGACUCCUUUGUAUUAAUAUUUCAAAUUUUAUACAACUUAAAUUUAAAUAUUAUGGUUGAUAUUACAACAUUAGAUUUCUAAUCAUGUGUUUGAAUUCUCGUUGUUACCUUGGGUAAUUAAUUGCUACGAUCUUCUUAUAACGAAAUUUGGUAAUGGAACGGAGCUAGGAGAUGGAGACUCCAAGAAAAUAGUAGAUCCGGCGUAAAAUUCAUCUUUUGAAUGCUUCGUUUUUGUGACGGAUUGGACCCGUUGCUUUUGGCUUUUGUGACAGUUCCAAUGUGGAUAUUUGGUGUUAGGAUUGCAACGUUUCAUAUUGGGAGGACGAGAUAUUGUGGUUUUUCGAGAUGGUUUGUUAAUGAAACAAACUUCAGGAUGCAUAACAUAAACACUCAUUUUGAUAACAACAACAAUUGAACCACAAAAAAGGAGAGAACGAAUAAUUCACACUAUAUAUAUAGGAAAGAAACUUGUGUAACACUUGUUUGAUAAAGUGAAGAGUAAUGAAAUAUUCAACAACUAAUAUAUAUAUAUAGAACAAGGUACGAUUGGGAUAUGAAAU